AGAGCAUGGGCCCUGCUGAACCAAGGCCUGGGUCAUCAUGCCUCAGCCUGAGGCUUAGGGCUGUCGGGCGAACGGCUGGAUCUUGGGGGUGGGGGGGCGUGGAGAGGAGGCAGAGCCAUGGCAGCUCAUCUUAGACGUGUGGGAUCUGUGCUUGGGGUUCCCCAAAUAGGUCUGCCUGGGGCAGGCAGCCUCCCACAGGCAGGGGUUGGGGGGUCCCUGGCAGUUCGAGGAUCUGUUCGGAUGACCCUGUCUGUUUGCCAUUUUCCCCUCUGUUUGUGCUCAGGCCCCUGCCAGAGCCGAUCCCCCGAGCCCAGCAGGCGCCCUGCCGUCCCCAUCCCCAUCCCCGUGCCAUUCCCCGUGCCAUUCCCGACCAGCUGCGUGCAGCAGCCAUCUUGUCUUCCUGCCCAGAAACGUGAAAUGGUUUCUCCUCGAUCCAGAGGAGAGCCUUCCCCUCGCAGGCUGCCUGCCGGGGGCUGUCUGCAGCCAGCCUUAGAUCCUGUCCCUAGGUGGCCACAGAUUCUCGCAAAACCAGGUGACUUCCUUUUGCUUGCUUUUCCCGUCUCUGCUUUCACCGGUGGCAUUUUCCGUGGCACCCACCCACCUGCCGCAGUGCCCGCUGUCCCCCGCGGACCUGUCCUCCCCUUCACCAGCGGGGUCCUCAGAGCCACCCCUGCCCCCUUGGGCCCAGCUCCCAUGGGCUUCAUCCCCCCUUUAUGUUCCUUUAGUUGUUGUUUUUUAUCUGUAAAUCUCACGUCACCUAUUAGAUUGUGAGCUCACACGUAGCCAGUGGGUGCCUCCUCCCUGCUGGGUCCCCCAUCCAGCUCUCUCACAGCGGUCAUUUCAUUUAUUCCUCACCCCAACCCUGCGGGGAGCACCCAUGGCCGGUAAGUGUUCUGAUCAUGGUUCGAACCCUGGUCUCUCAAAGCCUUUGUGUGUUUUUUUUCCCUCUCUCCAUCCUCUGUGUCUGCAAAAUGCCUUUGAACGACGAGGUAGGUCCCCCCAACAUGACUAUUUAAGGAAUUUUGUAAGCUCCUCAUGCGUGGUGGGACUUUGGGUAGCCGGUCCUUUUGCACCUACGGCCUGGGUCCCUUGGCUGGCCCAUACCACCCUCAUUGACUUUAUCCUCUUCGGUUGUGGCCAGUUUCAUUCAUGAGGCCGGCUUCUUGCUUUAUAGCUGAUAUGGAUGGACUGACAAACCUCAGUGAUCCUGGAAGAGGAUGAGGGGGUUGGGUGGGGAUGGUGUCUUCUGAGCAGAAAUCAGCUCCAGAACCCAGAAGGGAGUGGAGAGCGUGGGAGGCAGAGAGCAGGGGCGUGGAUUGCUCUUGCACAGACGGAGGUUUGCGUCUGGACCCUGCCUCGUCUUCACCGGGUGGUUUUAGACAAAUUACUUGAUCUUCCUAAGUCUCCGUGUCCUCAGUCAGGAAGACGGCGCCACUGUGACUACACAGAAAUGCCUGAUACCUUGCCAAGCAAAUAGGUUCCCGACCGAAAGUGUGGCUCCCUUGCCCCUACCCAGUAGGUUUGCAGGGACGUGAGGAAGGAACACAGCAGUUGGCUGGGCUCGAGAAGAAAUGGGGGCGAGGGGAGCUUGCGUGCCUUCAGGGACAGCAGAAGCAGAGCCAGGGGAGUGGGAGUGCGGAGAAGGUCUCCAGACAGCAGGCACCUGAAGCCUGCCAGGCGUGCCCUUCCCCACCCAGAGUAAAUGCCCCUCCACCGUCUGCCUCAGAGCGAGGCCACGGGAACGGAGCCGGAGGACCGGUGGUGGCAGAGGGAGGGUUAACCGGGGCGCCUUCCUGGGAGCCUCUGGAUGCCAGGUUAGUUUCCCUCCCCUCCUCGCAGCAGUGGUUGCCUGCUUCCUGCCACGCAUCCGUGGGAGGGGAGCCGGGCACCCCGAGGCCCCUCGUCACCAAUUCUGGGGCUGCAGAGCGGAGAGUGACGACAGCCAUGAGUCGCCAGCCGACGGCAGUGGGGACCCUGGUGACGGCUGCUCUUGUUUUUUUCCUCUCUGGAUGAUGACUCAGUGCGUUGGGAGCAGGAAGAUGGAGCGCUCAGCUGAAUGGCCAGGACAUUCUGUCAGCGUGAAAGCAGACGCAGCUUGUCGGGGCUGGGAGCUGACCCCGCGGCGGCCACCAGGGUCAUUUUCAACACGGGCUGGGCAGCAAGAAGCCCACCGCUGGGUAUCGGGGCCGGGGGGAGCCCCGGGGACUCACCAGGGUUCUGUGGGCCCUUGCUUCUUAGAAUCGGAAAAGAACAUGCAGCUGUUUGUAUUUUUAGAUGAACUUGACAAACAGGGUCGCUUCUUGAGCUCCUCUCAUGAGUCCCAAAUGGGAGACAUCUUGCCAGGGCCCCUUGGGGAUGCCUCCCUGUGGCUGGUUGCCUUGGACAGAAGGUGGGGGUCUCUUCUUGGGGUGGGGGCCGGGCUAGCAGGAGCGCUCCGGGACCCCACGGACAAAUGCCCAUCGUGGGGAUGUGGCAUCUUAGGUUUUUCUCAGCUGGCAUCGUGUGAAGAUGGUGGAGACGCAUCCCUGGCCUUAAGCUGAAGCUCAGCUCUUGAGUAGCCUGCUUGGGCCUCCCCUUUCCUGCCUUCCCAAAUCAAAGCUUAUCUCCCCUUCAUCUGCCUCCCUCCCUUCUCAGGGAAAAUUAUAGACCUUGAGUUCCUGACCUGGGGGUGUGUGUGUCAUGGCGGCUCAGAGUUCUAGGCUUUUCCUGAAUCUGCCGCAUUGCGCUGAGUGCAUGUGACCUGCCCCCAAGCCCCGCCUGCCCGCCGGCCCCGCCCCACCAUCCCUGCUUGGGAGGAAGGGAGAACACGGAGCUCCAUUGCCGUUGAAUGGUGGCCAAACCAUUAUCCCCAGCAUCUGGCUUCGCUCUCUCUCCUCCCCCUUCCGUGUCGCAGGGCAGGGGAGCCGACCACCUGUGGGUGGGGACGGAGGGGCAGCCUGGCCCGGGGCUCCCGGCCUCCCGUCCCUGUGUCCCCUUGCUCCGUCUCACGCGUCCCCACAGGCGAUGCUGGCACCUCCUCCCUUCCCCAGAGACCUCGGGCGGGACUCACGGGGGACCUCUGGAAGGAGUGGCUUGGGGGCCUUGGGAGGCUGAGGGAGCAGGGAGACCUGACCGAGGUCACAGCGGACAGUUGGUCAGAGCGAUGGGUGAGCCGCCGUCCCCACCCAGAGCUCACAGGCAGCACCAGCCCCUUUGCGUCAUGUCUCUUUGAGCCUGAGUACAGAGCAACUUGACCUAAAAAAAAAUCAUCUAUAGGUGGGUGUUGGAUGCUUUGAGUCUCCUGUUUCCUUGUCCAGAAGCUGUGUGUAUGAAGAGAGCCCCGAUGCUGUAGUUCAGAGAGCUCCGUCGUCCCUCAGGUUUUGUUGUUGUUGUUUAAUAAUGUUAUUGAUUUCAGAGAGGAAGGGAGAGGAAGAGAAGGGUAGAAACAUCAAAGAUGAGAGAGGAUCAUUGAUUCAUUGGUCAGCUGCCUCCUGCGCGCCCCCCACUGGGGAUCGAACCCACAACCUGGGCAUGUGAAUCCAACCAUGACCCCCCUGGUUCACAGGUCGGCGCUCAACCACCGAGCCACGCCAGCCUCAGGUUUGUCUUUGAAAGAGCUGGUGGACAGGCCUUCCUUGACAAGACGCUGUGCCCAGUGGCACUGGUCUUUCCCCAGGACGAUGGGCCCAGCAAAGUGUUGCUUCUGUCAUUGGAUGCUGAGCCGCAGCGGAGGGCCACGGUCCCAGGGCCACAUCAUAACCCUAAUGGGGCCUGGCUGGAGCCUGCACAACGAAUUGCUUGUGGUUGGCCCCGUAGCUGAGCCCACCUGUCUUCCUUUUGCUUCUUCCCCACAGAGAACUCAAGAGGAGUUGAGCUCCGUGAGUGACAACUUCGUGGAGACACGGCCCAGCUGAGGAGGGUGCUGGUUGCAGAAGACAGCGGCCAUCCUGUGGGGUCCUGUGCGCCCGUUUGCAUUUAUUUGUAACCCCCCAAAAGAGACAGAUGCGUGGCAGCCCGGCUCCGUGCAAUGCGGAUGGAUACAAAGGUCAUAUGGAUGAGGGUACUGAUGUAGGAGGGGCUGACAGCCUGGAUGGAUUUGGACUUUGGACGAGGAGAGACCAGGCCCUGGCUGUGGCCCUGGAUGUGGCUGAAGGCACAGCGUGACCCGUGGCGAAGACCAGCCUCUGGUGCUGUUGAGCCACCGCUGCAGUUCCGGGACCCAAAGUGCUGAUGGAUGUGGCGCACCACCAGGCUGCUCCGUGGAAACCUGAUGCAGCCUGGAAAAUAUGACUUAACCCCUUCCCGGCCGCCCGGCCUCCAAAAGAAUUUAAUCUGCUGGACAACAAACAAUACUGUUAUAAAACUUUGAAAACAAGAGGGCGAGGCCUCCCUGACAAGGAGAAGGGCAUGCCGGGUAACAGCGAGGGAGCCUGCCAGGCCACGGUGGAGCCGGGCAGGAGCCCAGUUGGCUGCGUACCUGGGUGCCUGCCCCCGUCUAGCCCACCAGCCGUGCCAUCGCCGGUCCAGAGGGGAAGGAACUGAAAGGAAACGGGGGGGGGGGGGGCAGAGACGCGCUUGAAAAGGGGAAGUUGUAUGUGUUCCCCGUUCUCUGAUCUGAUGGGAAUGCACUAGACUGUGAAACUUCCUCCUCCCCAC